CUCAUUUUUCUUAAAACUAUACAUUAGUGACUCAUAAAUUAUUUUUAUGCAGUAAUCUCUCCUUUUUUUUUAAAGUUAUCUUUUAUACCUCAAAAAACUUUUAUUCCUAUUUUAUCCUAAUAUUGUCACGAUGUGCAUCUGAUAACAAAUAUUUUCUCUUAUACAUAACAUGUGAUGUGAGUCUGUGACCCACCAACAUGGUGACGAAGGUCGCCGGCGACGGAAAUAUAUCUGAGAGUUUGAGGGUUGUCUUGGCUUGGGUGAUGAAAUUGAAGGCAGCUCCGAGGAGGGAGAAAUUGAUGACGGCGUCGCGCGCGGCGGAGUUUAAAAGAGUAGAGGAGACGAGAAUGAAGUCGUCACAGCCGGAGAGGGUACAAUCGUGGAAGAAGAUUCGGAAAUUUCCAGCAGCGGGCUGCCUCUAUAUGUGCAUCAGCUGGUCAUAGAAUCAUUGGUACAUUUGCUCAACUUGUUAUGUGGAAAAUUUUGACAGAAAAAGUGUUUGGUAUUUUGCAUAAAUUUUUAUCCAGGUUUUACUUUGUAUCGCUUUCUAGCAGUACUCUCCAGCCAUGUAGGCUCUGUUUCUUGCCUGGCUUUAUGUAGUGAGUUCAUCUUAAGCGCUUCCUAAGGGAAAGAUAUUAUAAUAUCGCAACAACCUGAUUUGAGACUGUUUAUGAAGUUUGGACAAGGAGAUAGGUCUAUUAAAGCUUUGGUGACUAUCGGAAACAUAAUAUUUACAGCACACCAAGACAUUAUAACUAGAGUAUGGAAGGUUUCAAGAAUCUUAAAGAAUGUGUUUAGGCUUGUCGACACUAUUUUAUCAAAAAAUUCAUGAAUUGUUUUACUUCUUUUGAUUUUAUACUUA